rnacentral:tRNA from 1 species
GCCCGGGUAGCAUAGCGGCAAUGCAGCAGACUUGUAAUCUGCAGAUCGCGGGUUCGAAUCCCGCCCCGGGCU